rnacentral:rRNA from 1 species
CGAGGGUGCAAGCGUUAAUCGGAAUUACUGGGCGUAAGGCGCGCGUAGGUGGUUAAUUAAGUCAGAUGUGAAAGCCCAGGGCUCAACCUUGGAACUGCAUUUGAAACUGGUUAACUAGAGUUUUGUAGAGGGUGGUAGAAUUUCAGGUGUAGCGGUGAAAUGCGUAGAGAUCUGAAGGAAUACCAGUGGCGAAGGCGGCCACCUGGACAAAGACUGACACUGAGGCGCGAAGGCGUGGGGAGCAAACGGGAUUAGAUACCCGAGUAGUCC